rnacentral:rRNA from 1 species
AUUGAACGCUGGCGGCAGGCCUAACACAUGCAAGUCGAGCGGUAACACAGAGGAGCUUGCUCCUUGGGUGACGAGCGGCGGACGGGUGAGUAAUGCCUGGGGAUCUGCCCGAUAGAGGGGGAUAACUACGGGAAACUGUAGCUAAUACCGCAUAAUGUCUACGGACCAAAGUGGGGGCUCUUCGGACCUCAUGCUAUCGGAUGAACCCAGGUGGGAUUAGCUAGUUGGUGAGGUAAUGGCUCACCAAGGCGACGAUCUCUAACUGGUUUGAGAGAAUGACCAGUCACACUGGAACUGAGACACGGUCCAGACUCCUACGGGAGGCAGC